UCCUCAGUGGGAAGCCUGCCACUCCCCCUGCUUCUGCUCACUCUCCCUCUCUUUCUGACAAAUAAAUAAAAAAUCUUAUUUUAAGUUAAUUUCAGGUGUACAACACUUCAGUAUUUGAGUAUAUUUCCAAAUGUUCACCAGGAUAAGUCUAGUUAACGUCCCUCACCAUACAUGGUUACAAAGGUAAGUGCUAUUUUAUCCUCACUUUUCAGAUGAGGGAGCUGAGGCACAGAGAGGCUAAAUUACUGCCCAUCACAAAGAAUAAAAUGAAUUUCUCUUAAAGCAUAAAGUGUCUGGUUUUCAUCAUGGAUGAAUACGUAUUUGUCUAUUUCCUAGCACUAUUAAAUAUUUGCCAUAUUUCUAAAAGGAGCCAUAAUGUACCUAGUGAACAAUGAUGGUGCUUUAUGUUUGUUCAGCACACUUUUACUUCUCAAGGCACUUUCAUAAUAGAGCCUGACCCUACAGGUAAAAACCUGAUGUCUCUUGGCACUACCACCACAAUACUUGUAAACAGCGCGAGAACAAUAGGACCCUUUUUGAAAUUGGAGUUAAUAUAAGAAAAGCAAAAUGUUAAUGACUUUUCCCUUAGGUAUCCAGAAUUUGAAAUUAUUCUAGAAAUAUUAUUUUAUGGUUUUAUAACUGUAUUAACUACUACUAUAUCUAUUUAAUUUUAAAAUGUAUGAAAUAGAAAAAAAUGAAAUUAUUUAUUUUGUCUUUUGAGCUUUUUUUUUUUUAAAUUAUUGUUUCCAGCUUUGAAUAGAGUCCUGGGAGCCUACUUUCAUAUGCCAAACUUUGCAACAAGCAGGACUUUCAUAAAGGGAAACACUGAAAUUGGAUCUCUUUUCUUAUUUGACUCCCCAGCCCUUUCUCUAACUCCAUCCGGUAAAAGAUGUGAUUAAUAGUCUUCAGCACCUCAUGCUGGGUAUCUCUAUCAGGACCUGUGGAUGAAGCUAUUUCCAAGUGAACGAGACCAGUAAACACAAUAGGUCAUUGACAGUCAACAUUUCUAAAGUAAUCAGAACUUCAAAAAUUAUUUCUCAUUUCCCAUCAGUACCAAAUCACGCGAGGAGAGGAAAUCGGCAAAAUAAAAGAUAACAAGGAAAGCAGAUUCAAGAUCCUUCCACUUGUUGGAGUGAUCAUCCCCCAGAAUAUAUUACAAAGCCACGGUCAUAUGGAGAGAUGAUUGAAGUGUACAUAGCUAUAAAAUGUUGGGGGGUAAGCAUGGAGAGGUGUGUCUGGUAGUUCAUUAAUAAAAAUAUUAUAUUU